rnacentral:lncRNA from 1 species
UUAUGGUCAUUGUUCAUCAUCCUGUCACUGUGCACCCCCAAAAAGAGUCUGGUAUCAUCCUUUUUGCAUCUACCUUUGAUAUAUUUGUAUGCAUUAAUGAGAUCUUUUCUUAAUCUUUGGACUGAACAGACCAGCUCCCACAGUCUCUCCUCAUAAAAGAGGUGCUCCAGACCCCUCGUCAUCUUGGUGGAAUGGUUCCACUGGGCUACAGGCAAGUUGGGGGUGGCUGCUGGUGAGUCUGGGGGAGGCCACUAAAUUCACACAGGAUGCUGGCACUGGCCAGGAUUCAUCAGGCUUCUUCAGGGAGAGAAGAGCCACCAGCACUGGGAUUAUUUUAUGGUGACAGAGGGAUGGGUGCCAGUAACUGAAACCCAAGCUCUCUGAUCAUUACAGGUACAACGUGAAAUUGUACAUCAAAAUCUUUAUCAUCAAUCAGGAUGUCCAGAACCACUCUUUGAGUUUGCUGUUACUGAAGUCUCAUUGAACUACGUGCGUGAUGAGGAGACCGGUAAAGGGAGACUGCAAAAUCCAUGCCCUCCUUUGAGAGGCCAAAGAAGGAGGCAUAGCAAGGUAAUUUGGGACAGAGUCAAACAAGUCCACUAUUGUUUUGUUUUGGUUUUUUUUUUUUUCUUUUGUGUUGCUUCAGCAGGUGAAAGGUACCUUCUUUAUACAAAUGAUGUAAUGUGGAGAUGUCCUUAGCACAUGUACCGUAAUGCAUGUGCUGUAGGGUUGGGGGAAAUGAGAUCCUGUGUUUGCUUUUAUAUCCAAAAUCUGCUCUGUUAAGUUGCCAGGUUCAUGACUAGUUUCCUUGAAUGCAGAAGCAUUUCUGUUUUGCAGGUGUUUUCCUAAAAUUAUGCUUCAUUGUAAAGAACAGGUCUUAUCCUGUUUGUAUUUUUAAAUUCCUACAUUUGCUGGUGUAAUCACAUAAGCAAUUAAUAAUAGCCAAACAGUUAACAGUAAAACAAGAUGUUUUUGAUUUAAGUUGUCGAAGAGUCCUUUGCUGAGCCAUGCAAAACACUUCAAUUGUGUGAUCGUUUUAAUCAUUGCUAAUGAAGCUGACACACCCAUGAUGUUGUUUUUGGCUUUGAUACCUAAAGGACUUAGUGAAGCGGCUGGAGGAUUUGGUUGUGUUCCACAUCUCACAGUGUCAUGGGAUGCUGGGACACUAGUUGCUUCAGAGUAGCAAGGGAGAAUCAGCAUUGGAAUCAUCAGUGUUCAGGUUUCUUUUAGCUUCUCACUUCUUUUCCUCAAUGCAGCAGCAGCAGACUGUCAUAAUUCAGUCUGUGCAGAAAAAAAGCAAUACUAAAAUUGGCUUGAUCUCCAUUUUUCAAGUAUGUAUCUGAGGAAAAACAGGUGAUACUUUAGGGCUCUU